AUAUACACACUCUGCAUUAUAUACACACUCUGCAUUAUAUACACAGUGUGUGUAUAUAAUGCAGAGUGUGUGUUU
rnacentral:miRNA from 1 species